rnacentral:rRNA from 1 species
UGGGGAAUAUUGCACAAUGGGCGAAAGCCUGAUGCAGCAACGCCGCGUGAGUGAUGAAGGCCCUCGGGUUGUAAAGCUCUGUCUUUUGGGACGAUAAUGACGGUACCAAAGGAGGAAGCCACGGCUAACUACGUGCCAGCAGCCGCGGUAAUACGUAGGUGGCAAGCGUUGUCCGGAUUUACUGGGCGUAAAGGAUGCGUAGGCGGAUUUUUAAGUGAGAUGUGAAAACCCUAAGCUUAACUUGGGGACUGCAUUUCAUACUGGAAAUCUAGAGUGCGGGAGAGGAGAAUGGAAUUCCUAGUGUAGCGGUGAAAUGCGUAGAGAUUAGGAAGAACACCAGUGGCGAAGGCGAUUCUCUGGACCGUAACUGACGCUGAGGCAUGAAAGCGUGGGUAGCAAACAGGAUUAGAUACCCUGGUAGUCCACGCCGUAAACGAUGAGUACUAGGUGUAGGAGGUAUCGACCCCUUCUGUGCCGCAGUUAACACAAUAAGUACUCCGCCUGGGAAGUACGAUCGCAAGAUUAAAACUCAAAUGAAUUGACGGGGUCAUAGCUGUUUUCCU